rnacentral:lncRNA from 1 species
UAAUGAACUAAUGGAUGAAUAUAAGAUAAUAAAUCUUAAGAAUAAAGAACUAAAACUAACUAAUCAAUCUCACUUCCAUAAGUAUGAUAAAUUAAUUAAGGACAAGAUUUUUAUCAUUAAAGAAAAUUUAGAACUUAAAACAAGCAACCAAAAAUUAAUUCAAAAAACUAAUACCUUAAUUAAAGAUAACGAAAAACUAACCAAGGAAAUUUCAGAACUUAAAAACGGGAAACAAACUUUAAAAGAUAAUCUUACAAAAGACUUAAGCACACUAAAAACAGAAAAAUAAAAGCUUACACAAGAGCUUGAAAAAUACAAACAUAUUGUUGAAAAGUUUACAUAUAGUUCUGAAAAAUUGGAAAUGAUACUUAACAAUCAACGAGCUGUGUUUAAUAGAGCUGGUUUAGGAUACAAACCUAAGAAUAAGCAAAAGCUCCUUAGUAACUUUUUUGUGAAAGCAGGAGAAAGUAAAAUUAAGAAUAUAACCUGUUUUUGCUGUGGAAAGGUAGGACAUAAAGCUAAU